GACUUUUUAUACUUUUUAAAUAUAUUUUAUUAUAGUCUAUCAAGGCAGAUAUUCUGCACACACAAAAAAAAAGAUCCAAGAUAGCUUGCUAAAGGUUAGACCUAAGUAUUUAUUUAUUGCUCAAAAGAGUUUUUAACUUUAUCCAGAGUUGUUUGUUGCUUGAUCUUAGUUAAAUCACUCAUAUUGAGUAA